rnacentral:rRNA from 1 species
GAUGAACGCUGGCGGCGUGCCUAAUACAUGCAAGUAGAACGCUGAAGGAGGAGCUUGCUCUUCUGGAUGAGUUGCGAACGGGUGAGUAACGCGUAGGUAACCUGCCUGGUAGCGGGGGAUAACUAUUGGAAACGAUAGCUAAUACCGCAUGACAACAGUUAUUGCAUGAUAACUGUUUAAAAGGGGCAACUGCUCCACUACCAGAUGGACCUGCGUUGUAUUAGCUAGUUGGUGAGGUAACGGCUCACCAAGGCGACGAUACAUAGCCGACCUGAGAGGGGGGUCGGCCACACUGGGACUGAGACACGGCCCAGCCUCCUACGGGAGGCAGCAGUAGGGAAUCUUCGGCAAUGGACGGAAGUCUGACCGAGCAACGCCGCGUGAGUGAAGAAGGUUUUCGGAUCGUAAAGCUCUGUUGUAAGAGAAGAACGAGUGUGAGAGUGGAAAGUUCACACUGUGACGGUAUCUUACCAGAAAGGGACGGCUAACUACGUG